UGUGCAAUGGCUUCUGAUAAGAUCAGUAAGAGGCUUCACAAUGUAGAAAAAAAAACACAGUGGAUCAAUCAGGCAAACAAAAUUAUCCAUAGUAGCAAAUCAUGGCUGUGGGUUUCGUGUGACUCUGAAAGAAACUGACCCACUCGCCCUCAGAACAUGCAAAAUUGAAUUGCGCCGCAUAAUGGCAUUAAUUGAAAAAAAUGAUGAAGAAUUAUUGAAUGAAGUUGAACUUCGUCAUGUCGAUAGUGAAAUCGAGCAAUCAACGGAUAUUAGCCUUAAAAUAACCAAAACUUGUUUGGCCAUAGAUGAUGAGCUGAGAGCUCAGCGCGGGAGCCUUGAGCUAGGGUUCAUAGGAGUACCUAACAACUUGAAGUGAUACGCGACGUCUACAGCGUGAUGGCGCCGUGCAGGAAGGAGAGGAGUUCAACCAGCCACAGUUGUGUGGCUUUGAAUUGAUCCACUUUGGUUCCAUUGAUUUAAUUAUGAACGGCAUAAUCUCUUUCAUAUUCUUAUCCGAGAAGAGGCAUUAAAUUAGAAUUCUUCUUUGUUUUAUUUACUUAAAACUUUUAGUUCAGCUAUUAUUAGAUGUCACUGGGAAUUUCAGAGGACUCUCCUUUAAAUAGAGAGAUGUGUUUAGUUUACUUACGCUGUACUUGAGACUCUUCUCUUCUUUAGAUAAGUAAUACUCGAAAGGAUUUAUUUGAACCAUCUUUAUAGAUAUACCGAUUAUAUUUUUCGUCAUCAGACAUUACAUUAUUUGUCAUUCAUAAUUUUUUAUACAUAGGCUAGUUGCAUUUGUGCAAGUUCGUCGGAACGUGGUAGUGCCUUCAGAACGAAAAUUGUAGUCACUGUGAAGCAUUUCGUGCUAUAAACCUUGCCUUGGUUUCAUUGCUAUCAGAAUAGAUGAAUUCGAAUUUUAUUGAUAACCUGUUUAACUCGUUUAUUGCUAAACUUUUAUUUUACAUUGGUGAGACUUGGAAUUUUUUUGAACUUGUGUUAGUUGCUUCUGUAGUGGUUGAUUCUAUGUAUAAUUUUUGCCAGUAACUUUCGAUGAACUGCGCUGAAGUUAUCAUUUUUCAAGCAGAUAAUUCUAAAUUUUUUAAAUGAUCCUCCGUUGACAAUUGGAUUUAUUCCUAAUUUUGGUGCCGGUUUCUCGGUUAAUUGUGAUUGAUCACCGAUUUAUUCUGCAGCAUCGAAUUCUCGAUUAAGCGUUAAUAUUUUGCUUCACUUAACUUACCAUGUUCUUCUUUUCUGUAUUUUUCUUACAAUAAAGCUUGAAAAU